CCGGCUUGCGAGGUGCUGCAUGGUUGUCGUCAGCUCGUGCCGUGAGGUGUCGGGUUAAGUCCCAUAACGAGCGCAACCCCUACCUGCUAGUUGCCAGCGGGUCAUGCCGGGGACGUCUAGCGGAACUGCCAGCGUAAGCUGCGAGGAAGGUGGGGAUGACGUCAAAUCAGCACGGCCCUUACGUCCAGGGCUACACACGUGUUACAAUGGCCAGUACAGAGGGCAGCCACCCCGCGAGGGGGCGCUAAUCCUAAAAGCUGGUCCCAGUUCGGAUCGGAGUCUGCAACCCGACUCCGUGAAGCUGGAUUCGCUAGUAAUCGCGCAUCAGCCACGGCGCGGUGAAUACGUUCCCGGGCCUU
rnacentral:rRNA from 1 species